GAUGAACGCUGGCGGCGUGCCUAAUACAUGCAAGUCGAGCGAACGGACGAGAAGCUUGCUUCUCUGAUGUUAGCGGCGGACGGGUGAGUAACACGUGGAUAACCUACCUAUAAGACUGGGAUAACUUCGGGAAACCGGAGCUAAUACCGGAUAAUAUUUUGAACCGCAUGGUUCAAAAGUGAAAGACGGUCUUGCUGUCACUUAUAGAUGGAUCCGCGCUGCAUUAGCUAGUUGGUAAGGUAACGGCUUACCAAGGCAACGAUGCAUAGCCGACCUGAGAGGGUGAUCGGCCACACUGGAACUGAGACACGGUCCAGACUCCUGCGGGAGGCAGCAGUAGGGAAUCUUCCGCAAUGGGCGAAAACCUGACGGAGCAACGCCGCGUGAGUGAUGAAGGUCUUCGGAUCGUAAAACUCUGUUAUUAGGGAAGAACAUAUGUGUAAGUAACUGUGCACAUCUUGACGGUACCUAAUCAGAAAGCCACGGCUAACUACGUG
rnacentral:rRNA from 1 species